rnacentral:sRNA from 1 species
AGACUUCGGUCUCUAGCGGCGGACGGGUUAGUAACACGUGGGCAACCUGCCUUGUAGAGGGGGAUAGCCUUCCGAAAGGAAGAUUAAUACCGCAUAACAUAUUACUUUCGCAUGAAAGAAAUAUUAAAGGAGCAAUCCGCUACAAGAUGGGCCCGCGGCGCAUUAGCUAGUUGGUGAGGUAAUGGCUCACCAAGGCGACGAUGCGUAGCCGACCUGAGAGGGUGAUCGGCCACAUUGGAACUGAGACACGGUCCAGACUCCUACGGGAGGCAGCAGUGGGACUCCUACGGGAGGCAGCAGUGGGGCAGUUGGCUCAGAACGAACGCUGGUGG